UCUACCUUUCAUACGUCAUCAUCAGCUGAGAAAGAAGACGUGAAGGAUGCCAUUGAAUAUUAUGGGGUGUGGGUUGAGAAGAAAAAAGCAAAGAAAGAUGUUCAAGAGCACAGGCGGUGGCAAAACAGGAAUGUCUGGAUAAAUUAAAUACACCACCAGGCAACAUGACUAAUUGGCGAAUGAAGCAAAAGAUUACUCUAAGGAAGAACGCCUGUUUGAAAAUGGAGAAUGAAAACACUAUAGAAGAAAAAAACAAAAAGAGUUUUUCAUCUGGGGAGAGCUCAAAAUUGAUUAAAAUGCCAAUGAAAGGUUGCCCUGAAUGCCAAAGGUGCAAAGGAAAGUAAAAGACAGCCUUCAAAGCAGAAGGCUCAUCAGCAGAUGAGCUCUUCCAGUGGCAAUCAUGGU